rnacentral:rRNA from 1 species
GUUUGAUCAUGGCUCAGAGUGAACGCUGGCGGCAGGCCUAAUACAUGCAAGUCGAACGGCAGCACAGCAGAGCUUGCUCUGUGGGUGGCGAGUGGCGGACGGGUGAGGAAUACGUGGGAAUCUGCCCAGUCGUGGGGGAUAACGUAGGGAAACUUACGCUAAUACCGCAUGCGCCCUUCGGGGGAAAGGCCGGGGACCGUUCGGGCCUGGCGCGAUUGGAUGAGCCCACGUCGGAUUAGCUAGUUGGCGGGGUAAAGGCCCACCAAGGCGACGAUCCGUAGCUGGUCUGAGAGGAUGAUCAGCCACACUGGAACUGAGACACGGUCCAGACUCCUACGGGAGGCAGCAGUAGGGAAUAUUGGACGAUGGGCGCAAGCCUGAUCCAGCCAUGCCGCGUGAGUGAAGAAGGCCCUCGGGUUGUAAAGCUCUUUUGUCCGGAAAGAAAGCGCCGGGUUAAUACCCUGGUGUCCUGACGGUACCGGAAGAAUAAGCACCGGCUAACUUCGUG